UCUAUGUAUAUACCAAGGCUUGUUUAAAGUAAAAACGCUUGUCAGUUGCUUAUUUAUCUGUUCAUUACACGGAGUUCGACCAAGUCAUUGCGAUGGCGACUUUUGCCCCUUAAGUGGGGCAACUUGAACUGGAGCUGAGAGUUCACCUUAAAGUGUGUGCCACCUGCAGCCGUUCCGAUUGCUUAUGCCUUGGCGACUACCUAUAACAACAACACUGUCAUACGACCAACGGCCGACAUGCUAAAGCGGCAUUCAAGCCAAUUCCGGUAGUUGAGACCGGGCUAUUGCAAGCAUAUGCGCGCACUG